AUAUUUACAUGUAUAUAUAUAUGCAUACAUGCAUAUGUACAUGCAUACAUGCAUGCAUACAUACAUACAUAAAAUGAGCCAGACAGAAAGACUGGUUGAAUGAAGCAAUUUCUUAUUAAAAGGAAAUCACCCACGAAUAGAUUUUCAGAAUUAAAUCGGGAAUUAAUUUGUUAAUUGAUUAAUUAAUUAAUUACAUUUAAGAAACAGAAAAUACUUAUUUCUUUUCAUAUAAUUUUUUUAUUUCAUAUUUUGUUAAUUUAAUAGAAUAGGGAUUUCGAAAGCGAUGUUAACCAUGCUAGCUAUGGUUAGUAAGGCUACGAAUUUGCGGCUCAUAAUAUUUCUACCAACUCAGUACAGUUCCGUUCUUCGAUACUCGAAUGUCAUCUUAAAGAAUUAACCAUAGAGUCACUGCAAUAUUUUAUAGCGUUGGAAUCGAAGCUUGAAGGAAAGCGUUGGCGUUAUUUGAGAUGAAAUCGUCAGCUUUUUUUUUAAGUAAUAAAAAGUAUAUUAUCACCAUUUAUAAGAAACACGUACAAAUAUAUAAUCAUAUAUAAUAAUUUAGAACAAUUUCGAAAUUAAUAGUUUUGUCUAACACCAAAGUAUGUGUGCAGUUUAACAAUCUUCAUUAUCUGAAAUCAUUUUCAUUAUUAAUGAUUUCAAAAGUUGGGAAAAACUCAUGUUGUUUAUUGCAAUUUGUUUUUAGUUUUACUGUAAGCUUAAUUUACAAACAAAUCGAUGCUAAGAACUUAAUCUUGGAUCAUUAAAUUUAUCAGAAAUAUGGACAACCUACAUAUUUUUUAAACCCAGCUAAUCAUUCGAAGUUUUCUCUUUUAAUAUAUACUAUUAUGAAGAUAUACCUGAGAAUAUUUGAGCGUAUGGAGUAAGUCUGAGUGUGCGUGCGCACGUGAGAAAUAGAGAGAGAGUGUGCGCGCGUGUGUGUGUGUGUGUUUGUGUUUGUGUGUGUGUGUGUGUGUGUGUGUGUGUGUGUAUGUGUGUGUGUGUGUUUGUGUGGAUUUAUAUAGAUUCGAAUAAAGCAGGGUGAUUGAAAAGAAAGAUCGCAGAAUCAGUAUCGUGCACUACCAUUCAUCAAUGAAAGAGCUUCAUAUUCAUAUGAAAAUUUUAAUCUGCAUUGGGUCUUUUCACUUAUAUCCAAACGCGAAAGAAAAGAAAGCUUUCUACCUCGAAAUAAGCUGAAUAAUUUGAAUAUUUAAAAUCAUCAGUUAUGUUAUUUAAUAUUCAUAUCGACCAAAGAUAUAAAUAAUGUUAACGAUAUUAGUAAUCUAAUGAUAAGAGCCGAUAUUUCAUCCAUUCUUAAAUACAGUCUUUCAUUCAAAGAAGCCCAGAAUAAACAAAAGCGUUAAACGAAACGGUGACCUCUUUCCAGAAUAAGCCACCUAGCCAAAAUUGAAUGCAAAUAAUUGAAAGCUCAUUUAAGACGAAAAAUUCAACAAAAUAGAGUUCAUGAUAACAGAAGAAAAAUAAUAACGAGGAAGACAAUAUCUUUUCUUCCCUAUUUCUUUCACAUUCUUAUUGUUACACCAUACUUUGAAGUUCCAAAACUAUAAGAAAUAGCAACGACUAUUUCAUCAGGAGGAGGAGCUGGUGACUGUUUUCUAAACAAAUAACAAAAUGGAGGAUCCAUUUAUCGAAGUUUUUCUUUCCUUUUUCAUUUUUUUCCCUCUUUUUAUUCCAUUUAUGAAGACAUAAUUCUAUGAAAUUAAAUUGUUAUAUGCUGCCGAAAUUUUGAUAAUCUUUCUGAUUACAUACAAUUUGAUUUCAAUGUCUACGAUGAAAGCCUUUUGCAGCAGCAGACAUGUUGAGGUGGGUGGCGGAGUAUGUCAGUAGUAUUACUUUGUUAAGAAAAUACUAUAACACAGUUCAUUGAAUGUUUACAUUCACUAGUCAUCAGAUACCUCUAUAUUGAUUUAAAAUCUCUCUAAAAUAGAAAUUGAGAUAAUGCAUACAAAAUUGCCGACAGCUAACGAGUUAUCAAUUAUGAUGGCUUGGAAGAUUGGUGUGUCAAAAAUACUCUAUAUAAAUGUCGUUUAUACCCAAUUUAAAUAUUUCUAGGCCAGGUGAAAUUUCUGUUCUUUUUUUUUUCCAAUAUAUAUUCUAUGUUAAGUAUGUAUGCUUGCUAAUUUCAUUAUUUGUUGCCAUCGUGUUUAUCAUUUCUAUAAAAUAUUGUAUUCUAAUCCAAGUGAUAAUACCAACCCUGCAUUAAAGGAUUACCAUAAAUCGAGUAAAAUUAGUGUGAAGAGGUUUAUAAUUAACUACCUGAAUUAUAUA
rnacentral:lncRNA from 1 species